GAUCUACCAGAACCAAAGACCCGAAAAUGGGCAACGAGGAGCCCGGUGUGCUUGAAAUAGAAGAUUGAGGACCCGAUGAAAGUUGUCACCAAGGAUUGUUAUUACCAGACCUGCAAAUGAUGGACUAUUGUGACCAUGGUAGAAUGUAUAACGUGCACUUUCUGAAGAUAAUCUCCAGUGAACUCAAGCGGAAGUCCAAGAUUUUAAGCAGAAAACAAGUCCCGGAUCGCAAGCUGAAGAAUUUAGCAUAUAGAGCUCCAUGCUCCAGUCCUUUAUUUAUCCUUGUUGAAGCUGAAGUCCUUGAAUUCUGAGCAGAAGACAAGCCCCAGACUGCAAGCCGAAGAAUUUGUAGCAUUUGGAGCUCCGUGCUCCAGCUUUCUAUCCUUUUUUUUUUCUUUUGAACUAUGAUGUGUUUGAGUUCGUUUCUGCUCCAGCACCAGGGAAGCGGAGCUAGCACUUUCAUUUCAUGAUGUGUUUCUUUACAUAACCGCAGAUGAUACUUGCCAUAGAAUCGAACAGUCCAGCAUACUCAUGUGUUUCGUUGUUUAA